GGACAAGGCCUGGGGACCUAGAGAGAUGACCUCCAGAGACUGAGAAGCUCAGUGGGCUUCUGAAAGCAGAGCUGUCAGACAGUCUGAAUUCCUGGGGAAGCCUGAGUGGUAUCGAUGACAUCACCGUCCUCUCUGGAAGUGCACUUUCUCUUGCCAGAUUCUGACAAUGACAUUGAGAGCUUAGUAUUAUUAUCCUUAUUUACAUGUGAGGAACCUAGGACUUGGCCGAGCAGUUCGCGCUGUGAAUGGUACCCUUGAAGUUCAGAAGAAGGUAUCAGAUCUCUUCGAACUAAAAAUGUGUCAGGAACUGAACGUGGGUCCUCUGGAAAGACAGCCAGUGCUCUUAACCACUGGGCCAUCUCUCUGGCCCCAACCAUCCUUCUUCUGUUUUCUUUUUUCAAGACGGUUUCUCUGUGUAGCCCUA